rnacentral:lncRNA from 1 species
CAAAAAGCAUACCUUUAAAAAAUAAAAUUAACAACAAAACACAGCCCCUGCUCCCAAUGAGCCCUUUGUCUUGGCAGCCCUCUGCAAUGACCAACUUGUCCUGGUUUGCCCGGGACUUUCCCAGUUUUAGCACCAAAAGUCCCACAUCCAGGGAAACCCCUCAGCCCCAGACAAACCAGGAUGGUCCGUCACCCUACUGGAAUUCCUCCCCCCGACCCCAAGCAGGGACAGAAGACAGAGCAGAUGCCCCACCUGCAGGUCCUGGUGCCCCAACACUCACAAGAGGAGGAAGAAAAGGACUUUAGGAGCACAGCACAAAACAACAGACAUCACUGUUGCUGAACUCCCCCAGUGAACACACGCAGUUUUUAAAUUGUGGAGCUCUUGAACCAGAAGCAUUCCCAGAGGUCCUCUUGUCCAGGUGCCGACCCUAACCAGUCAUUGCUGUGCAGUGACAUCCCCAGGCUGAGCACAGGAAGCCUGCAGACAGAGCUUGGACAACCCUAAUUACAGGAUAUUGGCAAGUGUGUGUCACUCUAACAUGCAGGAGCUAAUAUCUGCCCUGUAUACUUCCCAGGGGGUCAGGAAGACCCAAAUAAAAUAAUUUACACAAAGCA